GAUGAACGCUGGCGGCGUGCUUAACACAUGCAAGUCGAACGAGAAGUGGAGACGGAAACCUUCGGGCGGAAGGCUUCAUUUCGAGUGGCGGACGGGUGAGUAACGCGUGGGUAACCUGCCUCAUACAGGGGGAUAACAGUUGGAAACGACUGUUAAUACCGCAUAAGACCACAGCACCGCAUGGUGCGGGGGUAAAAACUCCGGUGGUAUGAGAUGGACCCGCGUUCGAUUAGCCAGUUGGCGGGGUAACGGCCCACCAAAGCGACGAUCGAUAGCCGAUCUGAGAGGAUGACCGGCCACAUUGGGACUGAGACACGGCCCAAACUCCUACGGGAGGCAGCAGUGGGGAAUAUUGCACAAUGGGGGAAACCCUGAUGCAGCGACGCCGCGUGAGUGAAGAAGUACUUCGGUAUGUAAAGCUCUAUCAGCAGGGAGGAAAAUGACGGUACCUGAGUAAGAAGCCCCGGCUAACUACGUG
rnacentral:rRNA from 1 species